rnacentral:rRNA from 1 species
UACGGGGGGAGCAAGCGUUGUUCGGAUUUACUGGGCGUAAAGGGCGCGUAGGCGGUCGUGACAAGUCACUUGUGAAAUCUCCGGGCUUAACUCGGAACGGUCAAGUGAUACUGUCGGACUAGAGUACAGAAGGGGCAACUGGAAUUCUCGGUGUAGCGGUGAAAUGCGUAGAUAUCUGGAGGAACACCGGUGGCGAAGGCGACAUCCUGGACCGGUAUUGACGCUG